UCAAAGUGCUGGGAUUACAGGCAUGAGCCACCUCGCCCGACCCUAUAGUCUGCACUCUUACUCAGUAGGCGAUGGUGAGUGUGUUGGGUACUGGGGAAAGGGAAAUAAAUUUUCACCUGGUCUCACCUCCUGACUCUGUCAUUUACCAGCAGGUGAACUUGGGCAAGUUGCCCAAUGUCUCUGAGCUUCAGCCUAUUAUGCACAAAAUGAGGACAACGACUCCUACCUCAAACGAUUGCAGCAAGGACUAAACUACCACUGAGUUUGAUGCCUCAGAAAUAUUCAGUGGAUGUCAGUUACCUCUCUCAUCUACUGUUUCAGAAGUGAGUCCCCAUGAAACAUAACAGCAGUGGUAGAAGGGACAAGUAUCAACCAUGAGGACUGGAUCCUGCAUCCAAGCCACCACCAAAUCUCACCAGGGUAACCACAGUAGCAUCCUGAAUGGUCUCCCUGCUUCUCCUUCUACCCCUUGCAGUAGAUUCUCUGUGAGGCGGUCUGUAAUUAUUCCCAUCCCUGUAUGUACACACCUUGCCAUGUGACUUUGCAGUUUCUCCCAUCAGGGGUUAGAGUCUGUUUACCCACGCUUUGAAUCUGGUCUGGUCUUUGGAGUUGCAUUGGCCAAAGGAGGGGGGUGGAAGUGACACUGACCAUGCCAGCUCUGAGCGCAGUCCUCAUGAGAUUUUCUGCACCUCCACUCUCUCUUGGGAUCCCGCCGAGCCACUGUGUGACUUGCCCAGACCAGCCUGCUGGAUGAUGUGAGACCACAUGGACCAGAUCUCAGUUGUCCCAGCCAAAGUCCCAGAUAAGUGAGAGAACCCAGCCAAGAGGAGCAAAGAUGACGGUUGAGAGCCAUCCCUCUCUGCAAUAAUUGAGCCACAAUCCAGAACACAUGAGAAUUGAGGGGGCCUUCACGGAAUCCAGGGGCACUUUAUAUAAUGAGUACAGAGAAGGCUGGGUUCUUACCAAGAUUUUCCAGACGCUUUAACGACCUUCAGAGUCAGUUCAGUCUGGCUGAUUUUCAUUCUCUUUUCUCAACUUCUCUGUUCUGAGGACGACGCUAUAUUACAUAGAAAGC
rnacentral:lncRNA from 10 species